UAGCACUUUGUUAUUCCUUUGACAGCCUGCAGCAGUUAAGUACAAAACCAAUCUUUCUGUGAAGAUGGCAGAAACACAGAAGGGAGCAUCCUCGACUGUCAAAGCAAAAGACAACAAUUCAUUACUUGAUCUGGAUAUUGGAAAUGACUUUCUUAAGUCGUUCAAAUCAGUGUCUAUGGGAGAAGACGAUGCAAUGGAUUUCGACUUUGGGCCUAUAUCCAAAAACAAGAAAAAGACAUUCAGCUUUGACAAAGAGGAUAUGGAUUUCACUCUUGAUACUGACUUUGGGAAGAUGUCGUCCUUCAACAUUGACAUGUCAGAUCUUGAUAUAUAUCCCCCAAGUAAAAAGGAUCAAAAAUCAAAGGAGACAUCAAAAGAAGAAUCCACUGUUGCUGUCAACAAAAAGAAAGGAGAUGGCUUCAAUUUUUCAUUUGAUUUUGAGUUGGAUAAUUUCAGGUUUGGGUCAAGUCAGGAGAGUAAUGGAAAAGCGAAGAACAACCAAGAAAAGGAUUGUUUCAAUUUUGGAUCAAGCCAGGAGAGUAGAGAGAAGGCAAAGAACAACCAAGAAAAGGAUUGCUUCAGUUUUGGAUCGAGCCAGGAGAGUAGAGAAAAGGCAAAGAACAACAAAGAAAAGGAUUGUUUUAGUUUUGGAUCAAGCCAGGAGAGUAGAGAAAAGGCAAAGAACGACCAAGAAAAGGAAUUUUCAUCUUCUAAGAGAAGUGGUAAUGAAGGCUCUGGAAGUCAUCUGAAUAAAGACAUUGGUUCGUUAGAGGAGGGGACAGUUCAGAAACACACUGCAUCAGAGGCCGGGAUGACUUCAAUUGUUGAUUCUCAUAUUGACAUAGAUAAAAGUCAUGGCACCACAAAACAUAGUUUAUCUUCAAACCAUACUAUGAGCAACAAUGAAAUUUUAAAAUUGCAAUCUGCUGGCUAUGAAGUUUCACUGGAAAAAGCAAAAAGUUUGUUACAAGAAAAAAUAUCCACCAGCACUCGAGAAACAGUUUGCCAAGUAGAGGAGGGAUCUUCUUUGAUAUCACAGAGUGAAUCAAGGAGGAAUAAUUCUUCAAGUUUACAGGAACAUGUUAAUUCUGUGGCUGCGGAUGUUAGUCUCUUAGGUGUAGGAACAGUUUCAAACAAAAAGGUGCUUUUGGACUCUGACACAAACUAUGAUAAGUCGGUUUUAGAAAAUUCCUCUUUGGAGGAUGUUGCAACCUCAAUGAAAGAUGCUAGUGAAAGGAGAAACUUUGACAGUGAUAAGCAUGUUUUGGAGACCAAUAAGGACAGGACUGAGACACAUUCCAACAGUAUGUCAAAUGCUACCGAAGAAAAAAUGCGAGACAUGAAAUUCGGUAACAACAUUCAGAGCCCAACUUCAGCGCCUUCUGCAUCCUCGUUAAGCAAAAUAGUAGCUGAAAAAUUGACAGUAGAGAAAAGAAGAGAGACUGGUGUCAUCAGGUCAAAGUUUUUUAUGCCAUCAAUUAAACCUGCAGCACAGACGCAGACAACAACAUCACUGACUGAGACAAAAGUUCCUGCAUUUAGUAACAAAAGAAUUAGCCCCAUACCACAGAGUCGUCCAGCUGAAAUAAUAUCUCAAGAUAACAAAGAUGAUGACACUGGAAGCAAGGCUGGUUUUGCCUCAGACUCUAGAUCUCUGCCAAAGAUUAACCCUCUUCAAACAGGAAGUCAGGAGGGAUGCCAAGUUUUAGGGACUUCUAUCAAGGGCUCCCAGUCGGAUGCUGCGAAAAACAUAAGAACGUUGACCGGCAAAUCUGCUCCCCAGAAAAGCAAAGCAAGCAGUAAAGAUCUUCUAACUUUCAGUUCUGGGGUAAAUCCUCCUAGCAAAACUCAACAGAUAGCUGCAUCCACCCCAUGCAGCAUUGCCAUUCCAAGGAACAUAGCUCCAAUUCCAACUGCAAAGAACACUCUCAGCCAAGGAGACAAAACACUUCCAAUUAAAGCUGCCAGGAAUCUUCUAGAGACAUCUAGCUUAAAAAUUUCAUCAAAACUUGGUACAAAUCCUGAUACACCUCAGACAGUGUUGCAAAAAAAUUUGAAGUCCUCAAAAACUGUGGACCAUCAUGGUGGGUUUAAAGCUAUUUUACAAGCCAAAGAUAAUUCCAAGGAGACGCUGAAGCAAACACCUGUUAACUUGUCUAUGAAGAGGAAAGUACCAGAGACAAAUUCAGAUUUCAUGAUCCUACUUCCGUCAAAGCGUCUUGCACAAUCACCCAAUGGAAGCAGGGGAUCCUCUGAAGGUACAGAAAGUAUAUGCAACAAACAGGUUAAUGACCAUGAUCAUUCUGUAAAUGGUAAUAAGACCAUCGAAUAUGAAGAUUGUCAAAUCUCUUUACGUGAUGUUCCUACGAGGAUGAACACCAAAGAGUUAGGAAGCCCUUCUGCGAUAGAAGAUGAGGACAACAUAAAGAAGGCUCAGACUUUGUCAAAGGAUCUUGAAGAUAUAUGCAACAUGCUGAGAAAAAAACAAGAGGACGCAAAGGAACUAUUAGUUCGAGCUGUUGUGAACAACAAUAAGCUGCUUCUGCUUAACCAUCCCAUUUAUAAAGAGAAGAUAUCCUUAUUACUGACCUACUGUCGCGCCACUUCCUUUUCACAAUUUCAAUUCUCUAUUUAAAAAUAAGUUGUGUAUGCCUUCACCCCCUAGAACAUACACAGGGUUCAGAAAUUUGCUGCUGGAUUGAUGACGAGGAAUCACCAAAUAGAAUCACAAUAAGACAACAUAGAGGCAGAGUCUGCUGCAUGUUCAAAUGCAGUCACGGAGAAUCUUUUUUCUUUGUAUUCCUCGAGUGAAGAAGCAUUGACUACACAAAUGUAAAAGAAGACUUUUGCUAAUAACAAAUUAAAGUGGUUACUCUCAGAGGCAGAUCUUCCGCUGAAGGGAAAUCAAACUUCUACUAAAUUUCAAGUAUCCCAUAUACAUUUGGCAUCUAAUAAUCUGUCCAUGUACAGGUGUGGGCAGUCUGCUUAUACUGAGAGCACCUGAAGAUAUUGAACCUCUUGUUAUACUCCUUACACCAUAAUUUUGUGCUUCUUUACAGCUUCCCCCUCUUGGGCACCUUAU